UCUCCGUUGGUGAACCAGCGGAGGGAUCAUUACAGAGUUUUCUAACUCCCAAACCCUUUGUGAACUUACUAUUUUGUUGCCUCGGCGGGCCUCUGAGAUUCGUCUCACGUCCGCCGGCGGCCCAUUAAACUCUGUUACUUAUUAGCAAUCUGAGCGUUUUCCAAAGAUAAAGUUAAAACUUUCAACAACGGAUCUCUUGGUUCUGGCAUCGAUGAAGAACGCAGC
rnacentral:misc_RNA from 1 species